rnacentral:lncRNA from 1 species
GGGAAAUGUGAGCGCAAACUGAUCCAGAUUGUCCCUUCGGGAUGGGCACUACAAGCACAGAGUGGAGUUCUCCUAAGGGGGAAAAGGUGGCCAGGCGCAGCCAGGAUGGGAGACGUGCAUCCUUUUGCUCCAGCAAGACGUCGGUAACUGGUGCUUGAAACAAGACUUCAUUGCUGAGCUACAGGGAUUAAGGGAAGGGAUUUUAUUUGCCUGCUGCAGUUAGAUGCAGCGUCCUCAAGGACCCCAGAAUUUGCAUGGAAACAUGGAGGAGAGGAGAGAGGAAAUAACCUUUACAGAAAGAAAAUCAGUCAAAUCAUCUUUAUCAUUCAAACAAAAGAUGACAGG